CUCUGGAUAAUUUGAGAUUGUGUCUCAAGAAACCAACCAGCUCACCAGAUAUCCCAACAGGAAAAAAGAAAGCCAUGGGCUGGAGUACCUCCAGUGGAACCUGAGACUAGAUUAUUCAAAACCAAAGUUCACACUAACACCCAAGUACCUUGCUGCAGUGAACCACCUAAAGUCUGUGUUGAUAUCAUGCUUAAUGGUGAGAAGACAAAAUGCUGAGCUCCAUGAACACCAAUAACGUGACAUAUCUGAACCCUGGAACUGUAAUAUUGAUUGGAAUUCCUGGACUAGAGCACGUGCAGUUUUGGAUUGGAUUUCCAUUCUUUACAGUGUGCUUGGUGGCUCUUUUGGGAAAUAUCAUUUUAUUAAUCAUCAUCCCAGCCGAACAGAGCUUACACCAACCCAUGUACAUCUUCCUGGCUGUGCUGGCAGGUACAGACAUAGGACUUUGUGCAGCCAUUGCCCCCAAAAUGUUGGCCAUAUUUUGGUUCAGGGCUUAUUCCAUGGCCUUUGAUGCCUGCCUAGCCCAGCUCUUCUUCAUCCAUAUCCUGCAGGGCAUGGAGUCUGGCAUUCUGUUGGCAAUGGCUUUUGAUCGUUACAUUGCAAUCUGUGAUCCUCUGAGGCACACAUCCAUUCUUAAACCUUCAAUUCUUGGUCAGAUGAUAGUGGUGGUGGUAAUUCAAGCGGUAGUGCUUGUAGGCCUGCUACCUAUUCUAAUAAAAAGACUGCACCAUUUUCAAUCCAUUCAAAUUGCCCACUCUUACUGUGAACACAUGACUGUUGUGAAGCUUGCAGCAAACCGUGUGCAGGUCAAUAAGAUAUGUGGUCUCUUUGUGGGGGUUGAGCGUUCUGGGAUUUGACAUUUUUUUAUCCUCAUAUCAUAUGCCCUGAUUUUCUAAGCUGUUUUUCACCUUAAACAGAAGGAGGCAAGGCUCAAAGCCUUUAACACCUGCACAGCUCAUAUUUUUGUUUUUUUAGAGUUCUAUAUUCUUGCCUUUUUCUCCUUUUUUAGCCACCGUCUUGGUCAUGUUGUUCCCUCCACCCACAUUCUUCUGUCAACCAUCUACCUCCUCUUGCCUCCUGCUCUCAACCCUCUUGUCUAUGGAGUGAAAAGCAUGGUCAUUUAAAAACGGGUGGCACAGAUCUUUUUUCUAGAUCAUGCACAUCAGUAG
rnacentral:lncRNA from 1 species